ACGGGAGGCAGCAGUGGGGAAUAUUGCACAAUGGGCGAAAGCCUGAUGCAGCGACGCCGCGUGAGCGAAGAAGUAUUUCGGUAUGUAAAGCUCUAUCAGCAGGGAUGAUAAUGACGGUACCUGACUAAGAAGCACCGGCUAAAUACGUGCCAGCAGCCGCGGUAAUACGUAUGGUGCAAGCGUUAUCCGGAUUUACUGGGUGUAAAGGGAGCGCAGGCGGUACGGCAAGUCUGAUGUGAAAGCCCGGGGCUCAACCCCGGUACUGCAUUGGAAACUGUCGAACUAGAGUGUCGGAGGGGUAAGUGGAAUUCCUAGUGUAGCGGUGAAAUGCGUAGAUAUUAGGAGGAACACCAGUGGCGAAGGCGGCCUGCUGGGCUUUAACUGACGCUGAGGCUCGAAAGUGUGGGGAGCAAACAGGAUUAGAUACCCUGGUA
rnacentral:rRNA from 1 species